AAUGUUCAGUCUUUGGAUGGGGUAGCGCAGAUGCGACCAAACGGUCUUGCCUGACGCGAUUGGAUUAUUUAUUCAUGUUUAUGUUGAUCAUAUAACCCUGGCUGUGGUUCCUUAUCAACGUGUGUGUGACCUCGAUAGAGCAGGCUGUUAGAUCAGAAGCUCGUGUGCAUGAGAAACCUGGAUAGCACAGGUUCCCCUGCAUGCACCUCCCCAAAAGACCUGUAUUUCUUCUGUGCUGAAGGGAAGAUUUCUGUCAACUUCAUUUAGAGACGGAGGGAAACUAUAAAAGUUUCCUUUUGAAACUGAUUGCCUGGAGUCCCGUAUGGGAUAUCAGAGACUGAAACCUGUAACAGGAGAAUGAAAACAGGAGAGAAACUUGACUUCCAACUAGAUGUAAGAAGAGUCACAGUUUUGUGGCAAUGAAAUAAUCCUGCUGAAUGGAGAUAUUGCUGAUGCCUGUGUGAUUUUGUUUGAAGAGAAUAAGCAGAAAAUGAUCAAAGAAACAUUGAUAAGUUACUCAACCACUGUCCACUUCAAGUUCAGGUGUGGGUCAUGGUGCACUGAUCCCUAUUAUCUCUAGUUCUCCGAAAGCAAAUGUACUUAGCAGAGUCUGAUAGAAGUUUCGCUUCAAUUGAUUUACACCAGAAGUCUAGUGCCUGCAAAACUGUGGCCAAGAGAGGAACCAAAGGUGCAAAACCAUAUCCUCUUCCCAAUUCUUUACUAACUGUGCAGUGUAAUCUGAUCACAGGAGGAUGGAAAUGUUUAUAUGACAUGACAGCAUGAGAGGAGGACAUAAUUUACACUGUGCAACAAGAGGCAUUCCCUGACACUAAAUAGCUACAUGCAUUUUUGCCCUGGGCACCACCAAGGCAGAGACAUGACUAUCUAAAUAGGAGGCUAGAAGGGGUAAUGGGGUCAGCUGAACUUCAAUUCCCAGAAAAAUCUUGUAACUUUUUAUAAGCAUCUAGAAUAAAACAAUGAGAUAUAUAAUAGCUGCCA